GAUGAACGCUGGCGGCGUGCCUAAUACAUGCAAGUCGAGCGAACAGACGAGGCGCUUGCUCCUCUCACGUGAGCGGCGGAGGUGUGUGUAACACGUGGAUCACCUCCCUGUAUGACUGGGAUAACUUCGGGAAACCGGCUCUAAUACCGUAGAAGAUAUUGAUCCACGUGGUGCGAUAGUGAAAGUCGGUUGUUCGGUCUCUUAUCGAUGGAUCUGCGCCUCAUUAGAUAGUUGGGGAGGUAACGGGUUACGAAGGCGACGAUGCGUAGCCGAACUGAGAGAGUGAUAGGCCACACUGGAACUGAGACAGGGUCCAGACGCCUAAGGGAGGGAGCAGUAGGGAACCUUCCGCAACGGGCGAAAGCCUGACGGAGCAACGCCGCGCGAGUGAUGAAGGUGCUGGGAGCGUAAAACUCUGUUACGAGGGAAGAACAAAUGUGUAAGUAAACAUGCACGUCUUGACGGUAACUAAUCAGAAAGCCACGGCUAACUACGUG
rnacentral:rRNA from 1 species